UACGGGGGGGAGCAAGCGUUGUUCGGAUUUACUGGGCGUAAAGGGCGCGUAGGCGGUCAGCACAAGUCAGUUGUGAAAUCUCCGGGCUUAACUCGGAAAGGUCAACUGAUACUGUGCGACUAGAGUGCAGAAGGGGCAACUGGAAUUCUCGGUGUAGCGGUGAAAUGCGUAGAUAUCGAGAGGAACACCUGCGGCGAAGGCGGGUUGCUGGGCUGACACUGACGCUGAGGCGCGAAAGCCAGGGGAGCGAACGGG
rnacentral:rRNA from 1 species